rnacentral:rRNA from 1 species
AACGAACGCUGGCGGCAUGCCUAACACAUGCAAGUCGAACGAGACCUUCGGGUCUAGUGGCGCACGGGGGCGUAACGCGUGGGGACCUGCCCUUAGGUACCGAAUACCUCCCCGAAAGGGAUGCUAAUACCGGUUAAUGUCUUCGGACCAAAGAUUUAUCGCCUUUGGAUGGGGCCGCGUUGGAUUCGCUGGUUGGUAGGGUACAAGCCUACCAAGGCGACGAUGCAUAGCUGGUCGGAGAGGAUGACCAGCCACACUGGGGCUGCGACACGGCCCAGACUCGUACGGGAGGCAGCAGUGGGGAAUAUUAGACAAGGGGCGAAAGCGUGAUCCAGCAAUGCCGGGUGAGUGAUGAAGGCGUUAGUGUUGUAAUGCUCUUUUACCCGAGAUGAUAAUGACAGUACCGGGAGAAUAAGCACCGGCUAACUCCGUG